UACGAAGGGGGCUAGCGUUGCUCGGAAUCACUGGGCGUAAAGCGCACGUAGGCGGACACUUAAGUCGGUGGUGAAAUCCUGGAGCUCAACUCCAGAACUGCCUCCGAUACUGAAUGUCUCCGAGUCCGGGAGAGGUGAGUGGAACUGCGAGUGUAGAGGUGAAAUUCGUAGAUAUUCGCAAGAACACCAGUGGCGAAGGCGGCUCACUGGCCCGGUACUGACGCUGAGGUGCGAAAGCGUGGGGAGCAAACAGGA
rnacentral:rRNA from 1 species